rnacentral:rRNA from 1 species
UACGUAGGUGGCGAGCGUUGUCCGGAAUUACUGGGUGUAAAGGGAGCGUAGGCGGGAUAUUAAGUUGAAUGUAUAAACUAUCGGCUCAACUGAUAGAAGCGUUCAAAACUGAUAUUCUUGAGUGAAGUAGAGGCAGGCGGAAUUCCUAGUGUAGCGGUGAAAUGCGUAGAUAUUAGGAGGAACACCAGUGGCGAAGGCGGCCUGCUGGGCUUUAACUGACGCUGAGGCUCGAAAGCGUGGGUAGCAAACAGG